AGCAGCCGCGGUAAUUCCAGCUCCAAUAGCGUAUAUUAAAGUUGUUGCAGUUAAAAAGCUCGUAGUUGAAUUUCGGGAUCAAUUCGUCGGUCGUGCUUUUUGGUACGUACUGGUGUUUAUUGGUUUCUCCCUUCUGACGAACCAUGAUGUCAUUAAUUUGGUGUUAUGGGGAGUUAGGACUGUUACUUUGAAAAAAUUAGAGUGUUUAAAGCAGGCAUUAGCUUGAAUACAUUAGCAUGGAAUAAUGAAAUAGGACGUUCGAUCCUAUUUUGUUGGUUUCUAGGAUCAACGUAAUGAUUAAUAGGGAUAGUUGGGGGCAUUAGUAUUCAAUUGUCAGAGGUGAAAUUCUUGGAUUAUUGGAAGACUAACUACUGCGAAAGCAUUUGCCAAGGAUGUUUUCAUUAAUCAAGAACGAAGGUUAGGGGAUCGAAGACGAUCAGAUACCGUCGUAGUCUUAACCAUAAACUAUGCCGACUAGGGAUCGGAUGAUGUUAAUUUUUUAAUGACUCAUUCGGCGCCU
rnacentral:misc_RNA from 1 species